AAGUAUACCCUUAUCCUCAGGACCUGGAGUCCAGCCCGUGCAAGAUAUCGUACACGCUGAACGGCGCCGAGCUCGGCACAGCGUUCGAGUUCGACCGGCAGGCGCUCGGCGGCCGGCCCCUGUUCCCGCACGUGCUCACCAAGAACGUGUGCUACCGCGUCAACAUGGGAUACGAUAGAUACAACAUGCUCUCCAGAACGAAAAUUGUAAGAAAAAGGAUCGAGAUACCGAUUGAGGAAGUUCUGGAAGAGAAAAGAAAGAGGGAGGAAGAGAUCAAACGGCAGAAAGACGAAGCAACUAAGAGGGAAAGGGAACGUCGCGAGAGAGAUAGAAAAGAAAGAGAGGAGAGGCAAAGAAAAAAGCGAGAGGUAGGGAGAUUUAA
rnacentral:lncRNA from 1 species